rnacentral:lncRNA from 1 species
AUGCUAGGACAACCUUUGCAGUAUAGGGGGUAAACCCUAUACCAAGACAACCUUAUAUCAACACAAAAUUGAUUUUAAAUUAUGAAAACUUUCAGAUCUAAUCUAAAAACUAGAUUAUAUAUAUUUUCAAAACUUGUGGCUCUGAUACCACUGUUAGAAAAUUGGAUAGGCAGUAUGCGUAGAUUUUAAAACUUUGAAAAUAGAUAGCGAAAAAUAAAAUGGAUUAAACCCUUUAACCCCACAUGCUAGAUACC